rnacentral:rRNA from 1 species
UACAGGGGGGGCAAACGUUGCUCGGAAUCAUUGGGCGUAAAGCGCACGUAGGCGGCCUCGCAAGUUGGAUGUGAAAUCCCUCGGCUUAACCAAGGAAGUGCAUCCGAAACUGCUGUACUUGAGGACUGGAGAGGAGACUGGAAUUUACGAUGUAGCGGUGAAAUGCGCAGAUAUCAGGAGGAACACCGGUGGCGAAGGCGGGUCUCUGGGCCGAUACUGACGCUGAGGAGCGAAAGCGUGGGGAGCGAACAGG